rnacentral:lncRNA from 1 species
UCCACGAAAAAUACAAGACUGGAGUAGAAGGGAGAACUGACAGGUACUCAAGGUACCCUCCGCCACACACCAUCAGGUGGUUUGCGGUGUAUGGAUGUAGAUGUAGAUGUAGACACAUAGACAACUGUUUUUCCCUCAUUCAGUUUGUGAAUGGAAUAGGAAAGGAAAUGAUUAGUAGUGGUCCAGGGUACCCUCCUCCAAAUGCCUUAUGGUCGCUUGUGGAGUAUCUGUGCAGAUGUAGUUAUAGACUUACACUACCACUUCGAGAACUGUACAUAUUAUUGUUCCAGAAGAACUUUGAUGCAACUGCAAAAUUUGUCAAAUCAACUUUAUUGCUUCAGUCAUCUCAGAAAGAGGUAGUGCUUACAGUCAAACAUCAUCUUAACUGCUGUUAUACAUCGUGCCACUAUAAGAUAGUUACGUCUUUGUGGAAAUAUCGAAUGUUGUGACAAAGGUUGGGAAGAACAUCGUCGUAACUGGCAGUUGUGUUUUUCAGUUUGAUGAGUGAAGUAACAUAUCCAGUGAAACGACAAUGCAAGUGUUGAAUAGUGGGAAUUGAGAGUCGCUUCAACUCAUGUCCUGGAUGUGAUAAUGAUGGACAAAAAGAGUGAUCAAACAAAGAAGAUCAUGCACCUUGCUGUUGAAGGGCUAAUGGAAGAUAACAAAAAGACAAGGGAGAUACAUUUUUUUGUGAGAAGUGAAACACAAACAUGAUCCAGCACUUUAGAGGAACAGCCAUCAAUCCCACAUUGUGAAAUAACAAAAAACAAGUGAGCAAGGUGGAGCCACAGACAUCAACAUCAAAUCAUAAGUUCAACGUGACACAAAUGACGGAAGCUUCAAGUGUGUAUGUGAUUGAAAGGGCAAACACGACAAAAUCUGUUUUGAAAAGAUUAACAUUGACAACUCCUUUGCUGAACAGCAAUUCUGAAAGCAGUUCAGAUUUGUCCUCUGGUUCAAGCGACAAUUAUCAACUGUCAAGCAACAAUGACUACUAUCAACCAUCAAGCAGCGAUGAAUCGUAAAAUUCAAGUGAAAGAUCACUCACCAACAAAGAAAAAUGUCCCAUUAAAAAACCUAAAGAAAGAAUGCAGAAUGUUAGUGAUUGCCAGAGUAAAAGCUAAAACAUUGAGAAACAGUGAAAAAAUUAUAUAACAAGAACAAGCAAAAUUGUCAAGGCUCAAAAAAUGGGUGCUGCGUGUACAGAUAAAUGUAUCCUCUCUUUACAUAGAAAGUGGUAGAACACAACAGGCAUCAGCUGUCCAUGAGCUCCUGGGUGCUGGGAACAUUACAAAGCCAACGGGAUUUUCUGAAUUCAUGCAUUGACACACUCAUUCUCAAAUAUCAUCGCAUUACUGCCAGAGAAGCUAGAAAGCUGAACCGCUUUCUAUUUGAUGAAAGAUGAGCAGAAGAUUCAUGUGUGUAAAACUUUCUGAUAAACGCUUUGGAAAUAAUGGAAAGGCAAGUCCGUACUGUUAUCAAGGGGAAAAUGACUGGACUGAGAUGGCACCUGCGGACAAAAUGGCCCAACAUGAAAAGCAUUGUAAGACUGAUCAAAAAAUCUUGGAGUCAUGUAGGAAUCACAUAAUGUCAAUUCCCUUUAUUGAGAGUCACUUUGCAAGGCGUGACAUAACAAGAGCUUUAUCGACGGUAGCUUAUCCAUCACUGAAAUGCACAGAGAUUACUCUUCAGCAUGAUGUUCCAUUAACCUGCCAGCUGUGAAUUAUGACACUUGAAUGCAUAUAUUCAAUCCUGAAUUUAAUAUUGGAUUUCUUUGCACCAAAGGGAAAUCAGUGCGUCCAAUGUGAAGUUUACAAAAAGCUACAGAUGAAGAGAAAGCAGAAAUACAAGAUGCAUUUCAAGAACAUCAGGAAGAAAAGAACUGAGUCACAUGGAAAAAAACAUGGACAAGGAGAUACAACUAGCUGUUCAUGAUUUAAAAGCUGUCUUACUAGUGCCUACAGGACAAACAGCUGCCUUUUUCUACAAAUCAAGGCACGACAGUUUCACAGUGCCUAAGUAUUGCAAGGGUUUCUGUGAUUCUCUUUCCACAUAAAUGUAAUGUGUUGCUUUUUAUAUCACUUGUUUGGAAGUUCUUUCUUUUGCUGAGUGUAUUACUUUAUUUCAUUUAUAAGAUACAAAUAAUAAAAAUGAUACUAGAACAAUGAAACUCUGUAAGAAUGACCAAAAAC